rnacentral:lncRNA from 1 species
GGCCCGUGUAGUAAUACGAUACAGUAAUCACACAUUCAGCUGAAGACGGGUUCGCAAAAAAAGAAUAUCGAUGGUCAACAAUAAUACAUCGCUCAAGGUGAAUAAUUAUCUAUUUUAACAUAACAACUAAUUUCAACAGUAAAAACAAAUAACAAAACAUUGUCCAAUUUGAAACAGGAGUGUGCGAGUAGUCCUACGCUUCAGACUCG